rnacentral:rRNA from 1 species
CAGUAGCCGCGGUAACACGGAGGGGGCUAGCGUUGUUCGGAAUUACUGGGCGUAAAGCGCACGUAGGCGGCUUGGUAAGUUAGAGGUGAAAGCCCGGAGCUCAACUCCGGAAUUGCCUUUAAGACUGCCGAGCUAGUAGGUGAGAGAGGUAAGUGGAAUUCCGAGUGUAGAGGUGAAAUUCGUAGAUAUUCGGAAGAACACCAGUGGCGAAGGCGGCUUACUGGCUCAUUCUAGACGCUGAGGUGCGAAAGCGUGGGGAGCAAACAGGAUUAGAUACCCCCGUAGUCCCUGUCUCUUAUAC